rnacentral:misc_RNA from 1 species
CUUCAUCCUCUUAAUACUCAUAUUCAAAAUCAAUGUCUUCAUCAUCUUCCUAAUCUUUAAAAACUAUAGGAGUAUUAUUUAGUUCUCAAGUCAAUGGAUGAUGUUUUUCCUUUUUCUUUUGACAUAGAUCUUGAAAUAGGUGUAGAAGUAACAUUUUUUUGAAAAAUAUAAUAAGAAAAUGGUAGUGUUGAAAAUGGAAAUAUGGAAGGUUUGCAAUCCUAGUUGUGGUGGUUUGAUGAGAUUUUGACGACUAGUUAUCACCAGUGAUACUAAUUUCGAAAACUUCCUAGAGCGUCAAUGUAGGAUUCUGGUCGAUCGACAAAUUUUGAGUUGAGUGGAAGUGCUAACCAAAUGCGGAAAUAAAGAGGCGUGUCUUUCUAGAGCCUUGCACUUGAAAUAAGGCUCACGCCUAGUCGCAUAAGGAAUGCUUGGAAAAUUGGGCAUGAGAUAGAGUGAACUGCAAUGGAGUGCGUGGUACAGGGGAUUAUUGAGACACAGCAUGUUGAGGCCCUUGAGAUUCUUCUUCAGGGUCUUUGUGGUGUUCAUAGAGAAGAUUUCAGGAUCCAUGAAUUAUGUCUGAAAAGUGGUCCAAACCUUGGACUUGUUAAUUCAGAGGUUCGACUUUUGUUCGAUCUUUACCAGGCUGAACCUACUUGGACUGUUAAACAUGUUGGAGGUGCAAUGAGAGGUGCUGGUGCUGAGCAAAUCUCAGUCCUGGUGAGGACUAUGGUGGAAAGCAAAGCAAGCAAGAAUGUGCUUCGCUUAUUUUAUGCGCUUGGCUAUAAAUUGGAUCAUGAGUUGCUUAGAGUGGGAUUUGCCUUCCAUUUCCAAAGGGGUGCUCGGAUAACUGUGUCUGUGUCAUCUGUUAAUAAGAUGCUAAAACUACAUGCAACAGAUGGUGAUGAGGCUGUGCCAGUUACCCCUGGCAUACAAUUGGUUGAAGUAACAGCCCCUGCAACACCUGAAAAUUAUUCUGAAGUUGUUGCUGCAGUGUCCUCCUUUUGUGAAUAUCUUGCACCGCUCCUGCAUUUGUCAAAACCAGGUGUUUCAACAGGAGUUGUUCCUACUGCUGCUGCUGCUGCUGCAUCUCUUAUGUCUGAUGGCGGGGGCACAACCUUGUAGGAGCAAUUGAGAGUUCCUUGUCGUUAAAGGUACGAAGAUGUCUUUAAGAAUUCAUACUAGUUUAGGUGCCUGUGCAAUGGCAUGAUGGCCCUUCAUCCUUUGUUUGCUUCUUGUGGGUGGAUGAAUUUAAAUUUAGGAACUGCAGGUGAUCACCAAGAAAAUUGCUCAUGGAGGUGUCACCAAUGCAUUUUUGCUUAAUGGAGGCAAGGCAUGAGAGAUGGUGUGGCCUCAUUUUGAGUUUGUGGUGUAAAAUUUGUAUUUUAUAUCCUUUUUUAUGUACUAGUUUAAAGAUGAGCUUUGAAUUGCCAGAAUUAUUACCAUGGAGAAGGAACAAAAGAUUGAACUAAAUAAUUUUUAUUGUAUUAAUUUUGGAAGUUACAAGGUAGCCUAUUUAUAUAAUAAUUCUAAAGUAGAAUAUUCAGACUAGGAAAUUAAAAUAUACG